GAUAUGGUUGCUUCACAUACUUCAUAGGUUGAUUGAUGCUUUGCUGACUGUUGGGGAAAGCUCUUCUUUUAAUUUGAUUGACCAGCUAAUUUUUGAUAAGUUGUACAUAGAUACGCAUUAUGAGUUUCAGUCAUUGGAUUUGAUUCACUGCUGGAUAGAUGGAAUAUUUAAGUUGUGUCAAAUUUCAACCAAUAGGUUGUUACUUCAGAACUUGAGUAAAAUGUUGGAUUUGUCUGGAAAUGUUGACAUAUUAUUCUUGAGAAUUUUAGCACAUGUUAUCAGUACACACUUUAACCUUACUAGAAGUCUGAAACAACUCUAGGAUGCAAAUUUCCAAGAUGAUAAGUUAGCUUAUUUUUGUAUUUGACACAUUCACAUUCAAUAAAAUUUCUCUACAUUUUAUCUUGAUUUCUCAGGAGCUAGAUUCAUCCUUUUCCAAUAAUUUUUGGACUUUGCUGAUAAAUAAAAAACAAAAAUAUUUUGUUUUUUUUUAUUUACUAAUUUCUUUUAACAUACAAAUUACCGUUUUCUAUAGCCAUCACUGUUCGAGAUAAACUCGAGUCAUUGUGCCGGGAGUUACAACGUCAGAACAAAAUGCUAAUGAUGAUCAGAUUAUGUCAACCAUUUGGGAUAAAUAAAUAAUGUUUGCGGAGUUAUGGUAACUCCUCCCUUCCUCCAAAAAGAAAGCCUGUCAAAAAAGAAACCACCAAAAAGUUUUUUUUUCCCAUGCAAAUUUAAAUGAAUUUUUCCACCAAGUGGUGUUGGGAUAUAGCUAGUGGAGAACACUGACUGCCAGAGAAGGAUGAAUGCAAGCGGGUAUCAACGGAGGGGCAAAACUUGAGAUUAGAUCUAUCAAGCAAGUUCCGCGACGCAAUUAAGGUGUCCAUGAUUUUCCUUUUUUCUUUGAGAAUC